UGGCUACCAUGAUCUUACUUAUGAUUUUGAAAAUAUCCAGCUUCAAGAAGGGAACGUCUUGCAACAUAAAAUGCUCCAGUUUCAACUAGUUCUCCUCUCCAACUUUGCCUUCUCGGCCGAAAUUCUCUUACCUUGUUACAGAGAAGACACAAUCAAAUCUGUUAGUUUUUAUCGCAUCUACAGCAAGACGUAUUUGUGAAGCUCUAGUGAAUGGUGAUGUGGCCUGAAGCAGAAUUAAGGUUCGAACUCCUGGGUUCUUGUCCAAGAAUUCUAAGGAACCCCAAAUGGAAGGAGCCACGUUUGACGAUGUUACUCUACUGCGGUGAAAUAUAUGGGCUCCACCUAUAAUGAAAAGUUUAAUUAGUUAUAAUUUAUUAUACAGUUAUAACUAAUUAAGGCUUAUGUGAUCAUCAAUAUGUUCCUAUAAAGAUU